rnacentral:lncRNA from 1 species
AUGCCUAUUGUUAAACCAGGAAAUUGGCACAUAAAGAUUCGUGGAAAUAUGAUAAUUUCUGAGGACACAUCUUCACAAGGAAGCAAAACUGUUGCUGAUGGCUGCGUCCCACAGUUACAGAAGUGGCACUUACACAAGAGCCAGAAAAGGUGA